GUCGACCUCAAUGAGAUGCAUACAGUUAACAGCACAGCACUACCUGCGAGAUCUUCUGUACCAAUGUAACCUGGCACAGCAUUGAAGCCACAACCGCUACACGACAUGUGUUCAACCGGCAUCUGCACUUGUGAUCCGAACAUCCUGUUACAGAACGAACUGCUAUUAUGUACUUUACUACGAACUAGUAAAUUAACUCCAUCUUGUCUGAAAUACUCUGAGAGACUUUUCCUAUGCGCUGUAUUUUGUUUUGCCCGCAUACACCUUGUUUGUACUUCUGUCGCACACACGAACACACAUAGUUAAUACACACACAAAUGCUAUCUCUGUCACAUUCAUACGCCACACAUGCCUUUCUCGUUUGUUUUCCAUGCUCAAUGUGCCCUUGUAAACACAACUCGUCUCUGUAAGACCCUAGGUCGGUCACGCAUACAUAGAGAAAGUUGUUUGUCCCUUACAACGCGCCAGCAUGCCACACUUUUGUUCCUGCACGACUGAG